CUGGCGGCAUGCCUAACACAUGCAAGUCGAACGCUCCGCAAGGGGAGUGGCGAACGGGUGAGUAACGGCGUGGAAUCUACCCAGCAGUGGGAAUAACCGCGGAAACUGCGGCUAAUACCGCAUACGCCCUUAGGGGGAAAGAUUUAUCGCUAGUUGGAGGAGCCCGCGUCGGAUUAGCUAGUUGGUGAGGUAAUGGCUCACCCAAGGCGACGAUCCGUAGCUGGUCUGAGAGGAUGAUCAGCCACACUGGGACUUAGACACGGCCCAGACUCC
rnacentral:rRNA from 1 species